UAAUACAUGGUGCUUGUCCGACACGAUAAAAACAGAUACAAACAGUUCCUGAUCAUUAGAGUCGUCACUAACGGUUACCUCAGCGCGGUGCCGCCUAUUGCGUCAGUGGACGACCAAAACAUGUCGCGGAGUUAAGUGUUGCUGCGUCGAGCACUCUUUUACUGUCUAUGGUUGAACGUUCAUUAUCGAUUUGGUGUCUUUGAACAAAUUACAUUUCUAUCAUUAUUGAAUAAAUAAAAAUAAACAUGUGAUUUACAAAUAUUAUUUGUUUAUUUAAAAUUCAUCCAUCCUUCUAUCUAUGUAUCCAUACACACGUCUAUAUCUACAUACAUUUUUAUAUAUAUAUAUAUAUAUAUUUAUUUAUUAAGUUUUUGCUAUGAUUCGUCCUGUGAUUUCUCCUGACCAACCACCUGAGUAGGUUACCAAGCGACAUGAAGUGUAAAUAUUGACAGAAGCUGCAGGUGUAUCAUAUUUUUGUUGCAUUGACUCCAGGAAAUCAUUAAACUAGCGCUUCGCCGUCGUUUUUAUGAUGACUUCUCUGCAAGAUUCAGAUCCAGUUAUACGAGACUACAUGAUUAAACAUUCACUUCCUCAGAUUUACAAGGCUUUGCUUGCUGGGUUAUGCAUCUCAUGCCCUGAGGAUCCUUUGCACUUUAUAGAGGAGAAGAUCCUUUCUAUCCUUGAGGAUCAUGAUUUUGAGAUCAGCUGGCACACAUUUAUUGACAAAGACAAACAGAUCUCCUCCUUGGCAGGAGGCAUUGUGUAUGAUAUAUUUGGAAACCCCGAAGACAGCCUGGUAAACCUCUCUAAGUAUUUUCAGCGUUCAGAGUGAAUGAGGGUUGUGUCUUCAAACCUCCGUCUGCUUAUUUCCCCUCUCACAGUGUCUGUCACAUUUGUUGGAGAAAGCGUACUCCUGUUACCGCACCAGCCUGACCAAAAUGUGUUUCACGUGAGUGUCAAAACUAUAGACUGUAGUAUCAAAGAGUCACACGACAGCAAACAAAAACACUGUGUCUGUAUGUCAGCUUUAUGACUGACGUUUCAUGUUAAGGGGUUGGAAAGGUUAUAUUUCAAAGAAGAAACUGAAGGCUGCCAGACUCCUGGAGAGAAUGGAAGAGGCUGAGAUGUAUCAAAAACAGAGACGGAUAAAACUGGCUUUCAUCAAGUGGACAGCGUGGGUUCAGUUUCGCAAACAGAGGCAGAAUGGUAUUUAGCUUUUAUGGUUUAUUACAUCAGGGAAUAUUAGGGUUACAUGUAAUUCAAAGUUGGUGUAGAAAAUCCAGCUACUUUUUUGUUUCUGUUAAUAUUAUUUCUGACACAAAG
rnacentral:lncRNA from 1 species